UUCCUUCACAAAUAGACUCUAC
rnacentral:piRNA from 1 species